GAUGAACGCUGGUGGCGUGCCUAACACAUGCGAGUCGAGCGAUUCUCUUCGGAGAAGAGCGGCGGACGGGUGAGUAACGCGUGGGUAACCUGCCCUGUACACACGGAUAACAUACCGAAAGGUAUGCUAAUACGAGAUAACAUGCUUUUAUCGCAUGGUAGAAGUAUCAAAGCUUUUGCGGUACAGGAUGGACCCGCGUCUGAUUAGCUAGUUGGUGAGGUAACGGCUCACCAAGGCGACGAUCAGUAGCCGACCUGAGAGGGUGAUCGGCCACAUUGGAACUGAGACACGGUCCAAACUCCUACGGGAGGCAGCAGUGGGGAAUAUUGCACAAUGGGCGAAAGCCUGAUGCAGCAACGCCGCGUGAGCGAUGAAGGCCUUCGGGUCGUAAAGCUCUGUCCUCAAGGAAGAUAAUGACGGUACUUGAGGAGGAAGCCCCGGCUAACUACGUG
rnacentral:rRNA from 1 species